AGCAUUUAAGUAUUGGUCUAAGCAUAGAAUAAGCAGCGGCCAACUUCUUUUCUCUUGUGGCUGCUAAGAUAAGCGCAUCGCUCGCGGUUAAACUCCAGUAUAUAUUUAACCCCCGGGAAAAAAAAAAAGACACGUGGUGGGGAAUUUCCACAUAAGUUUCCCAAAACUAAACGCAGAGGGAAGUGAGCAGCGCUCAGUGUAUUAAAAGUGAAUUACAUUUUUGCGGUGCCAAUUCAAGGUCGAAUUGGCACCCAGUAAGAACCCAUUUGUGUAUUGUUCUUACAUUGGGAAUAAGUUUACAAUCCCCCAAGCAGCCAGUUUACCCUAAGAAGGGCUUCCAGCGCCACGCCGCGGGAUCUGAUGGAUUUAUUAUAAAUUAGUAUUCAUCGCUCAACCCGACAAAAGAUCUUUUGGACGUGGAAAUUAAACUCGAUAUUCAUCGCUCAACCCGACAAAAGAUCUUUUGGACGUGGAAAUUAAACUCGAUGUAAGUGAAAAAAAAAA